UACCUUUUGCUACGGAAUAACGCAGGGAAACUUGUGCUAAUACCGUAUGUGUCCUUCGGGAGAAAGAUUUAUCGGCAAGAGAUGAGCCCGCGUUGGAUUAGCUAGUUGGUGGGGUAAAGGCCUACCAAGGCGACGAUCCAUAGCUGGUCUGAGAGGAUGAUCAGCCACAUUGGGACUGAGACACGGCCCAAACUCCUACGGGAGGCAGCAGUGGGGAAUAUUGGACAAUGGGCGCAAGCCUGAUCCAGCCAUGCCGCGUGAGUGAUGAAGGCCCUAGGGUUGUAAAGCUCUUUCACCGGAGAAGAUAAUGACGGUAUCCGGAGAAGAAGCCCCGGCUAACUUCGUGCCAGCAGCCGCGGUAAUACGAAGGGGGCUAGCGUUGUUCGGAAUUACUGGG
rnacentral:rRNA from 2 species